AAAUUCUUAAAGCUUUUAAAAUAAAACAGAUGUUAUUAACAUUCACCAUCUUUAUUCUCAAUGUCUACAUAUUAAUUUCACAGUUUGGUUACCCUGGCGACGAACACAUUUCUCCUAACGGAAGUGCCAGUGUCGUCGUAACUGCCGUCUGCUUCACAUCUGCUGUGCAGCGAGCUGCGUUAAUAACCAACAAAUUGCUGCUUUGCUGACGACUGUGGAACAAUUUCUGGCUGCAUAAGCCGCGACGGCGGCACAACAACAACCGACCGACCGCCUAGCCCAACAAAUGACGCCGACCAGCAUACCAACGAAUCGGCAAUUUAAUGACACAGAAGAGGAAUGGUUCGAAUACCUGUCGCAGUUCCAAGCACAUUGUCAAGUUCAUCGUGUGCAAGAUUCACGGCUUCAUGGGAUUGCGCAGCCUUAUCAGUCGCCUGCUGGUGCUACCAGGGCACCUCAAGAGGAGUGAAUGGACGACGGGCCUUGACCCCGCCGCCCCCACUUGUCGACUCCAUUUACCUGGACCAACCAUCGCCAUCGCCGUCGCCGUCGCUGUCAUCGCCCCAGGACCAGCCCUCAGACCUGGACGUAUGCCCUGGCAGCAGUUUUCUGGAGCACGUCCCUGUUGCCUCGCAAGCCAGAUGGUGUGGUACAGUCGGGAGUAUGCUGUCUUCCACAGCUACAGCUUGUAGCUCAUCUCAACGUCCAGGGACCUGGCUCUCUCCCCAUUGUCGUUCACAGCCUCAUUACAUGACAGUGGUGCGGCAUAUGGUGGGGAGUGGGGGGAGGAAAGUGCUGGCAUAAGCUGUCGCCAGUACAUCAGACAGCAAAUAGGUUGCAAGAAGAUCGACAGAGGCCAAAGACAGACUCGCAAGAAACGUGCCGCCAACGCCCUCUCUACAUCUGUAUUUAGAUUACUGCCACAGACCGAAUAGUCAGUCAGUCAUCCAGUGAGACACCAAGUCGAGGCAUCAGUCACAGCCCAGUCGCAGAGAGUCAGUUAGCACCUAGCGACCAGAGUAGUGUACAUGACACACUUGUACUUCAUCAGACUAACGUGGACUGUUAUGGAACAGCUUGUACCAUAGCAACUAGCUUAAGUGAAGUAGCUUUCUCAUUCUUAUGAAUAAAGA